UGUCUGUAAAAAGAAACCUGUCAAACGGUGAUAUUGUUCUAGUACAUGAUGAUAAUCUAGCAAGAAAUAAUUGGAAAAUAGGGCGAGUACAGGAGGUGUUCAAAGACUCGGAUGGACUUGUACGUAAGGUAAGACUUGCUUUGGGUACGGCUUGUUUGGACAAAACUGGUAAGCGCAAUAAUCCUAUUGUGUAUAUGGAAAGACCAAUCCACAAGUUAGUGUUGUUGAAGGAAACCGAGGAGAUCCCCGUCGAGGAGCCUUGUUAACAGGUAGUGUAUAUGUAUGUAACAGUCUGCCUUUCCAUCUACGAGCACACAGUACAUGUAUAUAGAUUUAUUCAGGAUACUAAGAAUAGUAAGAUCUUUAACAAUGUUAAAAUGUCAGACAAUUUUUAAUGUUGUUGCUUUAUUCACAGAGUUAAUAAAAAAAAAAAUGCAGCUUCUGUUAUUUUCCAGCUGGAUUUAUAAUAAUAAUAUAUCUAUGUCAUUGUAGAAGUAUAUUUAAGCACUGUACUCUAAUUUUGAUAAAUACAUAUAGACUCUAUACAAUAUUCAAUAGAAUAUUAAAACAUGAUUUCAUUUUGUUUUUCAGUACAUUAUAAUGAUUAAUUGUCUGCUAACUAUUUUUGCAUGUUCAGAUUUAAAUGCUGUUCUUGGUGCUAUUUUGUAUUUUUGUAUUUUUUUGUGUGUAAUUUUUGUGUAAUUGACUUCACUUGUAAUUGUCAAGGUACCCUUGUAGUGUAUUUUUAUGUAAUUAAGUGUUUACCUGUAAUUGUUAAUGUUUGAUUGUGGCAAUGUAGACAACAAUGUACGCAGACAUACAUUUAUUCCAUAUUGUAUUCUAUGUCAAACUGAAGUUACAAAACCAAUGUGCAUAUUGUUUCUCUUUUGUAUUCAAAUUUGCAUCAAAUGCCAAUUUGGGGGAGCCAUGUAACUGCUGUGAUGAUAACGUCAUCUGCGACGAUUUAUUCGUAACUGUAAUUGUUUUAGUCCGGUUCUUUUUGCGGCAUGGGAAACGUUAUUUAAACGUUAGUUUAUUAAAAUUAGAAACUUUGCGUCUUGCGAACCCAAAGAGUUUGACGGAUUUGUGAUGUGACCAAAUGAUAGAUUCUGAAUGAUUAAACAUCAUAAAAUUC